rnacentral:rRNA from 1 species
GACGAACGCUGGCGGCAUGCCUAACACAUGCAAGUCGAACGGAGCAGUUCCUUCGGGGACUGCUUAGUGGCGGACGGGCGAGUAACGCGUGAGCGACCUGCCUUUCAGAGGGGGAUAACGACCGGAAACAGUCGCUAAUACCGCAUAACAUAAUCCGAUCGCAUGAUCGGGUUAUCAAAGGAGCAAUCCGCUGAGAGAUGGGCUCGCGUCCGAUUAGCUAGUUGGUGGGGUAACGGCCCACCAAGGCGACGAUUGGUAGCCGAACUGAGGGGUUGAUCGGCCACAUUGGGACUGAGACACGGCCCAG